GGCUCCAGUCCCUCUUUUGUCAGGCUGGGCUUUUGCUUAUGAAAAGUCAAGUUCAACUUCAUUCCAAGGGGGAAGGAAGAGACCCUCAGCACGUCGGAGGAGAGCCCUGCAAACACACGGCCAAGGUCGGGCUCAUGCGCAAGGCUUACUGACGGGGUGUCAGCGUAUUUCUGGUGGUGAGAAGUGGAAUCAUGUUAGUCAAGUGUGUCUUUCAGUAUUUAUUUCUUUACUUGGGUGGAUUGAGAGAGAACUUCCCAGGCUCUGAGGAAGCUAGAGGUUUGCCUUUUAUCCCUCCUCUCACCCGUGUCCCCGAGGCAGGACUCAGAAGUCAGACGUGCAGGGGUGAGCAGCACGGAGGCCGAUGUGAGCAGGCCUGGAUGUGGUCAGCUGCCCUCUGCAGAGCUAGCUCGAGCGUUGUGAGGUCUAACAGCAGCCUGCCCAGGUGACAUUGGAAAGUGAGCAUUAUCAGGUCAUGGCACAUCAUCAGGCACGUGUGGAACACUCAGAGCAGGAAGCAUUGAGAAAGAAGACAAGAGAGUCCACGUUCAGCGAGCGGUGACCACGUGCCCGGAAGAGUUCCAGCACAGUCCAGACUGGAACCCAGGAGAGCAUAAGCAUUUUUAUUUUUAUGUUCUAGCUACUGCCUAAAACGACAGAGUUGAAACAUAUGCUUACUUAGCUCUGAAAUUGGUCCAAAGAAAUCAGGAACCAUAAAUAAAUCUCUUAGCCAAUGA